rnacentral:rRNA from 1 species
UACGAAGGGUGCAAGCGUUACUCGGAAUUACUGGGCGUAAAGCGUGCGUAGGUGGUUGUUUAAGUCUGUUGUGAAAGCCCUGGGCUCAACCUGGGAAUUGCAGUGGAUACUGGGGAGCUAGAGUGCGGUAGAGGGUAGUGGAAUUCCCGGUGUAGCGGUGAAAUGCGUAGAGAUCGGGAGGAACACCAGUGGCGAAGGCGGCUACCUGGACCAGCACUGACACUGAGGCACGAAAGCGUGGGGAGCAAACAGG